UAAGCGGAGGAAAAGAAACUAACAAGGAUUCCCCUAGUAACGGCGAGUGAACCGGGAAGAGCUCAAAUUUGAAAUCUGGCAGUCUUCGAUUGUCCGAGUUGUAAUCUAUAGAAGCGUUUUCCGUGCUGAACUGUGUCUAAGUCCCUUGGAACAGGGUAUCAAAGAGGGUGACAAUCCCGUACUUGACACAAUCAUCAGUGCUCUGUGAUACGUUCUCUACGAGUCGAGUUGUUUGGGAAUGCAGCUCAAAAUGGGUGGUAAAUUCCAUCUAAAGCUAAAUAUUGGCGAGAGACCGAUAGCGAACAAGUACCGUGAGGGAAAGAUGAAAAGCACUUUGGAAAGAGAGUUAAACAGUACGUGAAAUUGUUGAAAGGGAAACGAUUGAAGUCAGUCGUGUUCAUUGGAUUCAGCCGGUCUUCGGUGUAUUUCCUUUGAACGGGUCAACAUCAGUUUUGUCCGGUGGAUAAAGGUAGUAGGAAAGUGGCUCCUCCGGGAGUGUUAUAGCCUAUUGCCACAUACACUGGGUGAGACUGAGGACUGCAGCUUGCCUUUAUGGCCGGGGUUCGCCCACGUUCAAGCUUAGGAUGUUGACAUAAUGGCUUUAAACGACCCGUCUUGAAACAC
rnacentral:rRNA from 1 species